UGAAACCAUUGCUGCCAUCGUUAUCCUUAUCCUUUGAUUUUUCAUUAACCUUCUAGAAAGUUUAUUGAUAAUGCUUAUCCAUUUGCUUAAGGCCGCCACUUUUUAAUUAAUUUCAAGCCUCGUUUUGAAGAAUAAUAUAGAAGCUUGUUCUUGUCUUCAUGUUUCUCCCAACUUUCAAAGUCGGUUUGACUUGAACAAAAAUCCUUCAAAAUUUUUAACUAGCAUUGGUAACCUCUCCAAAGGCAUUGUUCUUAAAGAAAACGACCACCUACUGUCUUCUAAAAGGCUAUCUUCUUCUUCGAAUACCCACCAGAAUCCACAAGUUGAGAAUCUUGCUCUUAGCAACUUUGAUGAAAUUUGGAGUACUCAAUCAAGGUUUCCUAAGAAGGGAAGGGAAGUGCAGGUACGUCAAAUGCAAGAGAGCAAUAGAAGCAACUCACGGCCAGAAUCCACAAUCACUCCACCUAUUGGGUGUGCCUCGCAUUUAUCGAACACAUUGCAAACACCUUAGACGAGAAUCGAUGAGUAACAGAUUAAGGGUCAAAAUAGGCCCAACUUCGAGACGAGGAGGUCCUUGAUAUCGGGACGAUGCAAUGGUUUUUGGCAAUGGACAUGGUGACGACGUCGUGACGAGGAGAUUGGCACGUCACGAUGAUUCCUAAUGUUAUCUAGUUAGGGUUUUGUUUUUAGGGUUUGGGUAAUGCACGUUUAGUACAUUUAGGUUUAUUUUUUCCAUAUUGUACUCUCGUUUGUUUACUCAUUUAAUGAAAAGUCGAAGCCUCCUUUA